UACGGGGGGGGCUAGCGUUGUUCGGAAUUACUGGGCGUAAAGCGCACGUAGGCGGCUUUGUAAGUUAGAGGUGAAAGCCCGGGGCUCAACUCCGGAAUUGCCUUUAAGACUGCAUCGCUAGAAUUGUGGAGAGGUAAGUGGAAUUCCGAGUGUAGAGGUGAAAUUCGUAGAUAUUCGGAAGAACACCAGUGGCGAAGGCGACUUGCUGGACACAUAUUGACGCUGAGGUGCGAAAGCGUGGGGAGCAAACAGG
rnacentral:rRNA from 1 species